GAUACCCUAUUAUUUUAAAUGUAAUUUUUUUCGCUAAAAUUAUUAAUAGUUAUGUUCUUUAAAAUUAAAAAUUUUGGCGGUAUUUUAGUCUUUUCAGAGGAACCUGUUUUUUAAUUGACAAUCCACGAUAAGCUUUACUUUAACUUUAAAUUUAUAUAUCGUCGUUUAUAAAGAUUUUAUUAGAAUUAUAAUUUUUAAUAUUUUUUAUUAAAAGCUAGUUCAGAUCAAGGUGUAGUUUAUGUUAAAGUAGGAAUGGGUUACAUUAAAUUUAUUUAUAGUUUUAUUAUUGAAAAUGAUAGAUAAAUUGGAUUUGAAAGUAAUAAUUAUAUUUUUAUAUUAUGAUUAAGCUCUAAAAUAUGCACACAUCGCC
rnacentral:rRNA from 1 species